GACGAACCGUGCGACCGUUGUUCGGAUUCACUGGGCUUAAAGGGCGCGUAGGCGGCUUGCCAAGUCAGGGGUGAAAUCUUUCGGCUUAACCGGAAAAGUGCUUCUGAUACUGGCGGGCUGGAGGGAGGUAGGGGCAGAUGGAACUUCCGGUGGAGCGGUGAAAUGCGUAGAUAUCGGAAGGAACGCCGGUGGCGAAAGCGAUCUGCUGGAUCUCAUCUGACGCUGAGGCGCGAAAGCCAGGGGAGCAAACGGG
rnacentral:rRNA from 1 species